rnacentral:rRNA from 1 species
UACGUAGGGCGCAAGCGUUGUCCGGAAUUAUUGGGCGUAAAGGGCGCGUAGGUGGCCCGGUCAGUUCGUGGUGAAAGCGCGGGGCUCAACCCUGCGUCGGCCAUGAAUACUGCCGCGGCUGGAGCACUGUAGAGGCAGGCGGAAUUCCGGGUGUAGCGGUGGAAUGCGUAGAGAUCCGGAAGAACACCGGUGGCGAAGGCGGCCUGCUGGGCAGUUGCUGACACUGAGGCGCGACAGCGUGGGGAGCAAACAGG